rnacentral:misc_RNA from 1 species
UCCAGAGCAAGUCCCGCUGAGGAGUCUAAACUGAGGACUAGUUUCUACAGACUUCAAAUUCCAAUCAUGAAAAUGGAAGGUGCAGAGUCUUUGGACGAAUGGGAGCAAGUCCAGUUGGAAAUUGUUGCUGCUAGAAACAACAACCAUCUUCCAGACGACCUCUCUAUUUUCCCUCCAAGCUACCACGAGGGCCUUCAACUCCCACAACCGUCACCAACACCUCCGCCAGAUUCUCCAACUCUUAGCCGGGCGAGUUCAGUUGCUGUGUGUAGUACGGAAGCUGGAGAAGGGUUGUCGUUGCCGUCC